AUUGAACGCUGGCGGCAUGCCUUACACAUGCAAGUCGAACGGCAGCGGGGGAGAAGCUUGCUUUUCCUGCCGGCGAGUGGCGAACGGGUGAGUAAUACACCGGAACGUGCCCAGUCGUGGGGGAUAACGUAGCGAAAGUUACGCUAAUACCGCAUACGAUCUAUGGAUGAAAGCGGGGGAUCGCAAGACCUCGCGCGAUUGUAGCGGCCGAUAUCAGAUUAGGUAGGUGGUGGGGUAAAGGCUCACCAAGCCGACGAUCUGUAGCUGGUCUGAGAGGACGACCAGCCACACUGGGACUGAGACACGGCCCAGACUCCUACGGGAGGCAGCAGUGGGGAAUUUUGGACAAUGGGCGAAAGCCUGAUCCAGCCAUGCCGCGUGCAGGAUGAAGGCCUUCGGGUUGUAAACUGCUUUUGUACGGAACGAAAAGGUUUGGCCUAAUAAGCUGAGCUCAUGACGGUACCGUAAGAAUAAGCACCGGCUAACUACGUGCCAGCCGCCGCCGUAA
rnacentral:rRNA from 1 species